rfam:Schistosoma rodhaini strain Burundi genome assembly, scaffold: SROB_contig0002191
AUCCAACUGACGAGUCCCAAAUAGGACGAAACACGAGUCCUGGAU